rnacentral:rRNA from 1 species
GAUGAACGCUGGCGGCGUGCCUAAUACAUGCAAGUCGAGCGAACAGACGAGGAGCUUGCUCCUCUGACGUUAGCGGCGGACGGGUGAGUAACACGUGGAUAACCUACCUAUAAGACUGGGAUAACUUCGGGAAACCGGAGCUAAUACCGGAUAAUAUAUUGAACCGCAUGGUUCAAUAGUGAAAGACGGUUUUGCUGUCACUUAUAGAUGGAUCCGCGCCGCAUUAGCUAGUUGGUAAGGUAACGGCUUACCAAGGCGACGAUGCGUAGCCGACCUGAGAGGGUGAUCGGCCACACUGGAACUGAGACACGGUCCAGACUCCUACGGGAGGCAGCAGUAGGGAAUCUUCCGCAAUGGGCGAAAGCCUGACGGAGCAACGCCGCGUGAGUGAUGAAGGUCUUCGGAUCGUAAAACGCUGUUAUUAGGGAAGAACAAAUGUGUAAGUAACUAUGCACGUCUGGACGGUACCUAAUCAGAAAGCCACGGCUAACUACGU